CAUUGCAUGCGUAAUAAAUUCCUCAAUCCCUUCUAUAAAUUCCUCCCUCAAAAACCGACAAUUAGGAUAAUUCCUAUUAAAUAUCCAACUACGAUAAUCCAUCUACAUAAAGAACGAAUAAAUUACAUGUUAUAUUGAUCAUAAUUCAAAUUAAUGGUGCAGACAAACAAUUAAAGAGAAGACAAACACUUUAUUUGGUUGGAAUAGUACAUGUCUUUCAACAAAACAAUGAUAGUUGACACUUGAAAGCAACACAACUUGUAUGAGAACGACACAAUUAAGCAAAUACAAGCAGAACAGAGAAAGAAAAAAGUAAAUCAUGAUCGAACCAUUUACUUAAGUGCGCGCUAUCAUCAAGAAUUUUAAGAGACAAAGUUAGUAAUAUUUGGUACUACUAGUUGAUAAUGGAAUUCUGUGAAGUGCUAUAUAUGACUUAGGAAUCAGAUAGGAGUAAUUGUAACAAUAAAGACAUGGGAACAUUCAAACAAAUAAAACACACAUUAUCAUGCGUAUAUAGUUAGUUAAGAAGCAUUUUCUAUCUGUUAGUGUUAGUUUAUUGCUGUAGGGAAAAUCUCAGAUACAAAAGAGCUUAAACAAAAGCAAAUAAAUAAAUGAAAGACAACAAAAGUAGAUACUGAAGAAGGAAAAUACUUGUUUUAGUAUAGCAGACACAUGACCUCAUUUUUGUAUAUGUCUGUUUUAUGCAGAUGCUUUGUGAAGAACCAGUUCUGUUUGUGAAAAUAGCAAACAUAAUAAUAGGAAUUGGCUUGACCAUCUUACACUAACAAUACUAAUUAUACUAACUCAUAUAUAGAUGCCUACUGCCACAUUCUGAGAAAAAAAAUUGACAAAGAGAAUCGCCAACUCAAACAAGAUUUGUGCACAAACCACUUUAAACUCCAAUGUUUACAAGGUACCUGAAGUAGAUAACAGUACAUAGCAGAACAGCAAAAUCCUAUUUCAAGUCUUACAGAACCCUCCACUUAUCAAGUCGUUCUACCAAGGUAAAUUCCCGAAUACGAAAAGUUAUACAAGUUGGUCCAACUCCAAGCUGCUUCACAAGUUUCGCUCCAAGUCAAACCCGGUUCACCUACAUUGCACAAGUGUAAUUAGCAUUACAAAGAAAUGAGGGAAAAUAGAUAAAUACAGGAAAAUGAAAGGAUGUGUCCAAUCUUGGGCCAUCCGGAAAUAAAUCAUGAAUGUGAAUUAACUCACAAAACGUAUCUCAAGUAGAAAAGCACAAAUAUAGAGGAAAUAACUUCAUAGAAUUGUAAGGAAAACAGUAUAUGUACACGAUUCUCUAAUUUCUUAUUCCGCACUAGCGAUUUGUGCACAAAUUUGUAUGAAUUUUUGGCAGAACGCCACCAUUAGAAAAAGUCUAUUUUGAUUGUCAAAUUCACAAACAAAAAAAAAAACAAUCGGACAUAACCCCCACAUCAAUUUACAUACAAAAUCCAAGUGUCUAUUUAUACAAACAAAAGAGUAGAAAGAGAGGGAUGCAGCAUAAACAAUUUCGAAAUAAUUUAGAACUUACCUAAUCAAAGAGGCUGUGUAAUGGUUGCUCUAGGUGUAGGUGUGUUAAUCGGAGACCAAGAGAGCUGGUUUGUUGCUGCUGCUAUAGCGGGAUGAAGCGCCCAGAUACACUUCCAAGGGGGGAUUUGCUAAGAAAGAGAAAGAGAAAAGUGAAAGAGAAAGACAAAGGCGUGAGUGAGGCGAAGAAAGAGGAGUAAAAAAAGUUAGGGCUUUUGCUGAGAAAAGUUAAUUGUAACUAUUACACUUUUUUAUUUAAUGUAAUUAUCAAUUAAUUGCCUAAUAAAUUAUUAAUAUUAAUUAAUGAUAUUGCUAAAAUAGUUUUACUUACUUUAGUUGUCAAUUUAAGAUAAUUAAAUUACCACUAAUAUUACUUAACGAUACCACUAAUAAACUCCACUUACUUUAAUUAUCAAACUAAAGAAAAACAAUCACAAACAUUUCUCACAAAUAUCAUUAAUACACUUUCAUUUAGUGUAUAAUUAUCAAUGUAUCGGCUAAUCAAUCACUAACGUUAGUUAAUAAGGAUACCACUAAUUCACUAAUUGUUAACGUUGCUUAAGGAUCCCAUUGAUACACUUCCACUUAAAGUAAAGUGUGUGUGUGUCUAUAUAUACACACACAAUAUAAUUAAAUUUAUAUUUUAAUUUGUAUAUAAGCAUUUUUUCGAUCGAAUUCGGUCGUAAAUAUUCAAUUAUAAUUAUUUCAGUUGGUUAAUUUUAAUAAAUAAUUAUUUUUGUAGAUUAUGUACAAGGUUGACCAAAUAUUUGACCACUUUCCGACCGAAUUCGAUCGAAAAUACUGAGUUAUAAUUAUUUCGAUUUUUUGACUUGCGCAGAAAACAAAAAAAACUCAAAAUUGCCAACCGAAUUCGGUCGCCAAUUUGGAAAUUUUUUAAUAAAUAAUUAUUUUUUACAUUAUAUACAAGGUUGACCAAAAAUUUGACCAGUUUCCGACCGAAUUCGGUCAGAAAUUUAAAAAUAUUUUAAUAAAUAAUUAUUUUUUAUUAUAUACAAGUUUAACCAAAUAUUUGACAAAUUUUUCGACCGAAAUCGGUCGGAAAGUUUAUUUUUUUCUGUUAGUCACUUCUGUUGACUUUUGCGACCAAAUACUCUUGUUUCCGACCGACUUCGGUCGGAAAUUCUUGGACAGAAAUCAUCUGAUUUCUAGUAGUGAAUAUUGCCUACCCAAAUGUGGUCCGCCUAAAACAUGCUACUAGCGACUAGAACAAUAAAAUAAAAUAGCAAACAUAUUGUUCUCAAAAUUUCAAUUCUGUUUUCUUUAAGAUCCCAGCUCCCCGGCCAAAUCAUCAAGCAAGCAUUAACAUGAAUCCAACAAAACGACACAGAAUACCUAAGCAGAAAGCAUUCAAAACAACUGAAGAGACAAAAUGAAGGACAAGUGAAAAAGCUAAUAACGGUCAAAUGAAUCAGAAGCAUCGGAAGAGCCAUUAAAGAGUUCUCAACACCCCGAGUCCUUAUUAAAUCCUCAACUUAGCUGCACCCCCAUCCCGAAAGGCUCAUAAUUUAAUCACACGAAAUAAUCGAUCCACGUCUUUUUUACUCCAUCAUUUAUCAAGUUACCCCAACAAAGUACUAAGAUGAUUCAUAUGGCAGCACACUACAAUAAACUGAUAAAAUUAAUUACAUAGGAGCGCUAAACAGGAGAGCUGAAGGCAUAAACUCACAGGACUUGUGCAAUUUUCACCAAAGUGCAAGGGACAAGACCACCUGCCUAACACCUAAUUCUCAAACUUCAUAGAGUCAAUAUGAUAUUAUCGUAGCCUCUACCAAGAUCAUGCUUAAUACAAUAGGAAAUGCCAAUAAAGAUAAUGACAUAACAUCAUCAAUAAACUCCUUAAUCUCCUGGGACUGAAAACACUUUCUAUUCUACUAGAAGUAACAUUACUACUGCAUGGAGGAUUAAUUUAAACUAAAAAGAUCUCUUCAUCUCAUUUUAAUUCCACAUAAUGCUCAUUUGCAAAGCUAACUUUCAAUCAUAACUUGAACCAAAGAAAUACUUCAAACACAUCAAGCUAGAUACAUCGACAACCAACCGAGACAGAAUUCAUAAGGAAGUCAUAAAAGACUCAGCGAAGCCAUGAAUGGACUUGUUAACAGCCUAUUAAACUUUUCAAUCAGAUCAUUUCAGUUCCUUAACUUACCCUUCCUGUUCUCAGUUCCUUAAGGUCGUAUGAUCAGAUUCUAAUAAUAGAAGAAAACAAGAACAAGUUAUUAUUUAUUUUCAGAGGAAGGUCAACCAGUUGAGGCAUAGACAAACAUGCAUAUGACUCCAACAGCUCGGUUAUGAUCUAAGUAUGUUAACACUAAGUCACUCGUACUAAAAAAAAUCAAAGAACCAGACGGAAGCCUAAUAGACCAUCUGUUUCAAAUUGAGAAUAUGUUAACUCAAGAAAUACUUCAACACCAUAAUAACGGUUAAAAGCAUUCAAGGCAUAGAAAAAAAACCAUUCGGAUCAACUAUUACUAACCGAGCAUGCUCAAACCAAUCAAACAGUGAGAGCAGAAUCCAUACAACAGGAACGAUAUAUCAAAUAUCAUUUUUCAAACACACAUUGAGACUAAAUGCUGAUUCCAAAUUCAAACUCUACUAAAUUUAAUCACAGACCUAAGAUAGAGCAAAAUGCAAUCAGAAAUGAACCUGAAAAUACUUUCGAUUAAACUUCGGCGUGAAUAUACAAUGAGAAAAUCAGGCAACAAAUCUGAAAUCGAACUGAAAAGGUAACAGUAGCCGGAAAUCGACACCUCGAGCAGCGACAAACUCAACGACUCCUCAAUCGAACUCCAUUCUUCAACAAAAAUUCAGAGAAGAAUACAAACUAAACUUUUUUGAUAUUUUCUGGUAUCGAAAUGGAAUUAAGUACAAGAAAGGAACUCAAAAAAUUUUUUAUCUUUUUUUUUCUGGAAUCUCAAUCGAAAAAGAUGAAGAAAGCAAAAAUCAAAAACCCUAAAAUCAAACCCUAAUUUUUCUCCAAAACUCACUCUAUCCGAAAAUUCCCCUCAACUAGAAAAUAUUCUCACCUAUAUAUAGCCUCUCGAGUGUUCUGCCUUCCCCUCCAAGAAAAUGUGUGGUCACCAACAAGACUCGAAAAUCGCUUUUGUAAACAAAAAUCAUAAAAUGGAAGUCUUGGAUCAAAAUUUUAAUCCAACGACUCCCAUUUUCCAACAUUUAUCUAAGGGAUUCGGAUUUUUGUUCAGGCAAAGAAAAUAAAGGAAGCAAAACGCGUGAAUCGAUUUGAAAUGACGAGAUUUGUACAAUUUGAGUGACGUGGAAGAACAAGAGGAGAGGAGGGGGACCAUGUGAUGAUUUGGGAAAUUUCCGGCGGGUUUAGGGUGGUGGCAGCGGCGGAGAGUGGAGGAGGGGGAGGGCCAC
rnacentral:lncRNA from 1 species